GGCCGGUUAGCUCAGUCAGCUGAGCGUGGCGCUAACAACGCCAAGGUCGCGGGUUUGAUUCCCGUUCAGUCCC
rnacentral:tRNA from 1 species